rnacentral:lncRNA from 1 species
AAUUAAUUAGAUUUUUGAUUGGGCCAUCAUUUGAGCCCAAAAGGAAACCCGAGGGAUGACUUUAUCAGAUUUGCUGACUAAUAAUAGGGUAGUAGCUUCAACAUGCAUGCAAAUUGGCUCGUAGUCAGCAGAAUACAGCAAGGAAUAACAAUUAUCUCAUGUUGCAAAAACUACAUUGAUGACACUUGGAACCAAAAUUGUUGAACCUUAAAAUAAGGUUCAGCUGCUAUUUUUCAAUUUUGCAGGAGAGCACUCAGCUCUAUGCAUAUACAAGGCAUAUACACUAAUAACUACUGAUUUCUGUACAGAAUAAAUCAAUGAAGUCACAUAUCUCACACUUCUUUGUUUUAUAUCACCAUUGUGACACUACUAAAUACAAUUUUGGAGCUGUAAAUUUGAAAAUGCCAUCUAUGUUAGUGUAACAAUGUUACCAGCAACAUUGCCCCCCCAGGACUUUGGUCUAGUGGUAAGAGAGCAGAGCAUAUGUGUGGCUUAGGCGCACAUCACAAAUUCAAACUCAGUCGCAAACAAAAGCCUAGUAUUUAAGUGGAGAAUGAUAAAGGGACGGACUCAUUAUCCAUUGAAUUUUGAACCAUACACUAACUGGCUAAGUGAAGAAGGGUCAAGGUAGAGGAGCGGACCCCUACUAUCCAUCAAGUUUCGAAACCAACUGGCCUUUGAGGAUUCCUCUCUUAUCCAAAAAAAAGACCAUGUUACCAGCAGCCUCUGUAAAAUGAACCUCCCACUUUGACCAGAAAAGGCAUGCUGUUCCAAGCAGAGGUAGAGCAGAGCACCAGCCACAAAGCAUUCUAACUUUAUUAGCAACUCACAUUAGCACUGAGAUCUCAUGCACGUUUAGUUGCUACAACACUCCAAUUCGGCAGGAAGUGACCCACUCACCUUCCUCACAACCAGCCUAUCUUCAAUGGACUGACCGACCGUAUGGCAGACAACAAUCCAAUCAUUCAGAACAGCCAGCAUGCCAUAAAAGAUGAAGUUCCCCACCAUUUCUCCUUGAGAAAAUUACAGCCACUAGCUCCUUCCCUGGUCUCACUUAAAUAACAAAGGAAAGAGAUUAUGAAAGGUCCCACAGGCACCUCAUAUGGAUAAGCAUACCAUGUUGACCUCUCCUUGUGUAUUCAUUUCUUUCCCGUGAGCUCUAGUAAAUUAAAAUUAGGCUGUUAUCUCAAAAAUGGGAUAAGGCAAAUCUGAGAUAUUUACCAACUAGUGGCCAGAAGCAAACUCUGAUAUGACUUGCUAAGACCUGAAGGGACCAGUCAAACAUGAUUUCUCAUAUGGAGCUCUCGUUGCAACAGUAAACUCUGUAGUAGUUCUAUCACAAAGGAUAUUACAGAGUUUCCCUGAUCCAGAAAGGAGGUGCCAAAAGAGGAGAUAACGUCCACUUUCUUGAAAACCCUGAAAGCAAUACUUCUCAAACUGGCGAAGGCAGUCCAUAAUUAUGAAAUGACCUUAUUCGCCCAUCAUAGCCUGCAGUAACAAUAACUAAACCCCAGGCAUGAGAACGGGAUGAACUCUGGCAAGAACGUUUCAGAAACUUGUAAUGAGAUUUACACAUUGCAGAAGGCACAGGCCGAGGAUGUGACACAGGGAGCUUCUCUUCAGGCCAGGUUGCAGAUCCCUUGGGAAUUGCCUCUAAGAACAACUCUUGUCCUAAAGUGAACCAAGGAGAAGAAGGGAACGGGAAAUUUGUUAAGCUUUGACUUAGUCCUUGUGAGUGACACCGGUUUUCCUGGUUGACAUUUUUCAAACCAGACCAAGGUAUUGCAAUGGUCGCAUCGCCAUUGAAGAACUCAAAUGAUCUCACUGCUCCAGGUUGGGACACAGAAGACUCUUCUGGAAUGUGGAAGUUCCAUAGAUAGACAUUAGAAUCUUCAGACGCAGAGAUAAUAUGCUUCCCAUCCGAGGUGAAAGCAGCAGAGAGAUGGCUUCCUGCAUUUCUUAGGCCUAGAGAAGUAAAGUGGCAAGCAAGUUAGAGAAGAAGGGACAAUGGAGAAACAAGUUAGAAAUAAACACUCGAUAGAGAUAUUAUAUGACCAACAAAACUUAACUAAAAAUUAAUUAGGUUGACCUCAAGUCCCAUAAUUGCAGACAAUCUCAAUAUCAACUAUAUGGAUUCCUUUUUGACACGAAAAGAAUGAGAAGCCACUCAAAUGAUAGGAAAAUAGGCAUACAAAUAGGUUAUCAUCUAAAACUCAAGAAGGGAACAUACCUCUGCACUUGCCGAUCACAUUGAUCCCACUAAGGAUUCUUACUUGGGAGUCAGCACAAGUAACAAUUACUUUAGUUGGGUCUUCUGGUAGGAACUGCAUAGAAGUAAUGAUUUAUCAGCAUCUUAUUACAUUGCUAACCAGAAAAUGUAAUGCAGUAUGGCCAAUGGUAUCUGCGUGAUGUAUACUAACCUGAAAACCAGUAAUUCUUUUGCAAAGUGACUUCUUCUUACUGCCCAAUGACAUCUGCUCCUCCAGUUGGAUCUUGUGAUCUGUGACGGUCCAAAAACAUUAAAAAACAUUUCAACUUUGAUGUAAACUCUGUAUAACAGACUAUCCACACAUUAGCCACAAAAACAUGGACCACAAUUCUCGGUCACUGUAAACUAUAUUUGCACUCUCAGAUGCUAAUUUAUAUGAUGCUCAUACAAACUGAUAUUACAAUCUGAUAAUUCUACUACCACAAAUCCUGGAGAAAGAAAGAAAACUGAGCAACAGCCGGAAUGACCAAAAAAUCAAAAGACAGAGAAAUGAAAAAUGCAAAAAUAGCCACUCAGUCCACUCCAAACACCCAUUACAAAAGAAAAAGGGAGAGGAUAACUGGGGAUUCGUUAAUAAUACUAAUCAAAGAAUAAUGAUUUCAAGUAGAAAUAACAUUUAGAUGGUCAAUCAAUUGAAACAAAAGCAACAACUUGUAAUAGUUCUCGAGUAAACUAUAAAUCCUAACUGCAGGUGAUCAAUACCAAUUUUGGAUCUAUACCAAAGAAAAGAGGCAAAAAAUUACCUAUUAAACUAAAGAAGCAACACGCCCCUGCCAUAGAGCCAAUAAUCCCACCCUACAUGGGAAGUAGAUAAUGUUUUUGAUGAACUGCUUGAAUUUAGGAAUCUAUAAUUGAAGUUAGUAACAGGAAAGACAAUGCAUAUUAUUAGCAUACCUUCCCAUCAGGACGGUACGAUACAGCAGUCACAAUGUCUCUUAUAUCUUUCCAAUCCACAACUUGACAGCUAUUAAUCGCCCAAAUGCGAACUUUUCCAUCUAAUGAACCACUGAUGAAGUAGUCAUCAUUUACUGGAUUAAAUUGUAUGGAAGUCACUGAAACAAAAAAGAAAGAAAAUAGAGAGUAAUGGAAUUUGGAACUAAAACAUCAGAAACUUAAAACUGUUGAAUUGGAAAAAUAUAGAAUGAUCUCGCUAAAGGCUUGGUGCAUACCAUAAUUACUAUGUGAAAAAACUUUGAGGCAUUUAUCACAUCCAACUUGCCACAGACGAACAGUUUUGUCAGUUGAUGAUGAAAGCAAAUACUGCAAGGAAUAUAUAAAUCACAAAAACAAAACUUGAUUAGAUGCAUAAUGUUUACAGAAAACUUCAAUCAAGUAGAAUGUAACUAACAUACGUUAUUCUUUGACCAUGAAACAUCCAAUAUCUCCCCACUAUGUCCUUGGAACACAUGCAGUGGUUCUUCCAAAAUCCGAAAGACCUUAGGAGGGAAAAUGACACAAGACGAUUCUGUUGUUUUCUUUAGGCCCCUCAAUUUAUUGAUUCUCUCUUUCUCUGUCACCAAAGGAGACAGUUGGGAUUGAUGGUUCAUCGAGAAGUACAUGCAAGACGGAUCCAACUCUGGAAUGUCAAUUUUGUUGGAUCUCUCGUCUUCCACCACUUUCCAUACACGCAAAAUCUUAUCUUCACCAGCACUGGCUAAGUAUUGCCCAUCAAGACUGAAUUUCAUAGUUAAGAUUGAACCUUUAUGAGCCUGGAUAUCUUGCUCCACAAAAAGAGCGGAGAGUUCCUUUAAGCGCUUCUUGCGGUGGUGAACCUUAACCUUCUGAAAUCUAGACCUUUGAACAAGGCUGGAGCUGAUGUCGGCCUUCACAUUGUUACCUCUCCCUUUGCCAUUUACAAUGCACGUCAGUGAUCGCAAUUUACUUAACAAACGGCUCUUGACCCGGUUCAGUUUCCUCCCAGCAUAUCCACUGACCUCUAAUUCCCGCUGUCCAAUUUGCUGAAUUUUGGGGGACAUAUAUGAGUCCUCGGGCUCACUAGACAUUAACUGUCGUUCCAAUUUAACAGUUCUGUGGCUAUUCUCAGCCAGAUUAUGUACAUUGCAGUCGCUUCCACCAAGUAGAUUACCAUUCCGAAAAAGAAAUGUCUCAUUUGAAUCCAACUCUUUAUAUGAACCCAAAACUCCAACAGGCAAAUCAGAAGGAAAUUCGUCUUUAAGAAUUGAGGUUGGCAACAUAGCCUCACUAUCCUCCAUAAUCCGUUCAAUCUCACAACUAGAUAAAUCAGAAUUCCCAUAUACAGUCACUGGAUCUUCUCCAUCAUUUACGUGUAAGUCCAUCCAACUAAAGAAUUUCCUUCGGCGCUCUUUAACAGUGGUAAGACUUGUAGUCCAUACAUCAUAGGGGUAGCAACUGGUGACACAAUUAUCAGUUCUUGAGCUAGACUUGAGCACCUGGGGAUGGUAGUUGGAACCCAAAUCAGAGAAGUGACCAAUGUUCUCAGAGGCAUCAAAAAAUACACAUUUUUCAUCAUCAUCACUGAAGCUACCCAUUACACCUUUGAGUUCACCCCAUCAAACCCCAACCUCAAGAAACCAACCUUUUUUUAAGCCCUAGACAAUGUGCUGAAUUAUUGGGUCCUCAUUAGACCUAAGAAACACAAAACAAAGAGAAUCAUAAAACACGACUACCAAGAUAAUAAGUAAAAUAAAGCUGUACUUAUUUUAACAACAAAAAAAAUUACUGUAUUAGUCUAGUGGAAACAAUGAAAAUUGUAGUACUACUUCUUUUAACAUAGGAUAACCAAAAAAACAAAUAGAUCCAGCAUGGAUCCCAAUCCACACCCAGUAAACCUUGUCCCCCCACCCCCAAAACACAACAUAACUUCACAAAGUAUAAUUUCAAAAAAGGGAACUUUUUUAUCUGCUACUAUAGCUUCUGUAGUUUCUACAUACAAAUAUUCACCGCAAGCUUCCAUCCAAAGGAAUCAGAAAAUACCCAGUAGUCAUUUGCACCCAAAAAUGAAAACCCACAUAGCCUAUUACCAGCAUUUACACAAAUAAAUCACAGGAAAGAAAAAAACAAACGGACAUAAAAAAAUUUGCUCACAUGAGUCUGGCUUGUUUCCACAAGAUUGAAUGGAUGAGAUAAACAACUUAUCUCACGCACGCACACAGAGUCACUCCACUCUGUCCUAUGAAGAAGAACAAUUUACCAUUUAAAAACUCAGAUGGAAAAUAAGUAAUGAUUAUGGAAGAAGAAGGGGGGGUUUAAAGUUUAAACUGGGAAAAUUUUUUGUGAGGAAAAAUUUGCCAAGAAUAGGAAAGGGUAGUUGGAUGGAAAAAUAAAUCCUAGAUAGACGUGAAUAUGGUUGGACCGAGGUCCGAGAAACGAGAGAUUUUGAGACUAGUAAAGGAAAGUAGGCUCUGCGCACCUGUUUAUAAUGUAAUGUGGUGUUUGGUUCUUCAUUUUGUUGCGCCAGCCUAUUUUGCCCACCUUGCACCAGUGUCACAAGACUCGUAACCCCCCACCCCCCUCGCCCUAGUAAACUUAUUGCAAUAUUUUAAUUACUUCAUGGGAUACCUAUUUUUAUGUUAUCUUAUCUAUUUAUCAAAAAUUAAAUAGAAAGGAAGAAAUUAUUUAAUAAUUUUUGUUUCCAUCUUAAUUUGAACAUUAGAGCUCACAAUUCUACUCACACUUCUAGAAUUUUAUAUUUUGCUUUCCUCUUUUCUUAAAAUAAAUUUCACUAGGUAUUUAAUGAAUUAUAUUUAUAAUAUUGCUAGUUUAUUUAGUUUCGAUUACGGUUAUUCUUAAAUAUGUACUCCGUUUGUUCUAUUUUAUGUGAACCGUUGUGGAAUACGAGGGGUUAAAUUGACUAAAUUUUAGUGUGAAUUUGAACAUAAAUAUUUUAAAAAUUUUGAAAUAAAAUUUGCAUAUUUAACAACUAUAUAAAAAAUAAUAUAAGUCACAAUAGUUAAUCUAUCUAUUUAUACUAUAUUAAAAGUAUGAAGCCCUUUAGCUAAAAGUUAAUUUACCUUUUCACCCUUCUUAAAAUAUAAUUACCCUUCUUAUAUACCAUAUUAAAAGUGAGAAGCCCUUUAGCUAAAAGUUAAUUUACCUUUUUACCCUUCUUAAAAUAUAAUUACCCUCCUUAUUAAAAAAAAAAAAGAGAGAGGCCAUAACCCACGCUUGAUUCGAACAGAUGUGUUCUUUCAUAGAAAUUCCUUAUGAAUAUGAAUGGAUGUGCUCCUUCAUAAAAGUUAUCUGUAACUUAAAUAUCCGAAUCCAAAUUAUGAUAUUAUACCUCCCGACUAUUCAAUGAAAACUUCCUCAUCAAACCAAUUUACUUCUUUUGUCUUCGAUUAUCAGUUUUUGCUACUUUUUUGAGUGUCUGCAUUUACUUCAAUUCCUAUAAAGAAGGCAUGCCACAAUGCAACUGUAUUUUUGUGUUUAGAAUAUGUAGAUUUACCACUUUCUCUUUUAUAUUGCUUGCGCCAAGAGAUUGCUUAGGAUCAAUUUUAGUUACAUUCAUCUAUUUUCAUAACGAUUAUGCGAUUAUAUUUUUCCCCCAUAUAUAUAUUUUUUCAUUGAUUUUUAUCAUAAUCUAACUUGUGUUUUGAUAUCUAUCAAAAUCUUUGAACAACGACAUCUUUGACAGAAUUUAGUUUGCUAAUUAUUAAAAGAAAAUGCUUAUGCCAUAUGGAAAGAUAUAAGCUAAUAGUUUGUAAAUUGAUAAUGCUAAUUAUGUUGUGGUAUUUGAGAAUAUAUCAAAUUAGUUACCAAUGAUUAAAAAUAAGAAACUAUUUUAAAAUUUUAAUUUUGUAUGGAGAAUAUAUGAGAAACAUGAACUUACAAAUGAAAAUGCCGUGAGAUUCGGAUUACUAUUAUGCUAAUCUUGUCGAGAGUAUUUGGUCCUUAAGAUAACUUCUACUACGUAUGGUUGGAUGGUUAAGAGCGUAGCUUUUUCACGUUUCAGAAUGUUUAAGAAAAAUAUUUUUUUAAGUAAUUCUUGUGUUGAACAUACAGAUUCUACAAACAAAGCAUAACUAUUUUUGCCCUCUUCCAUAUCUUAAUGAAAAGUCUAACCCACCAUGAACAAAGUGCCAAAACAACUUUAGACGUUGCUCUCAGUUGGAGGAUAAUUUUUGCUUCAUUUCUCUAAUUUCUAAUGAUAGAUAAAUAGAAUGAAACGUGCUUGGUACUUGAAAAGUUGGAUCAUUGUUUCUUAUCUAAUUAACUCUUUUCAGAGUGUUGAAAAUUUUAUAUUAAAAAUUUUCUUUAUGCCUGAGGUUCAUAAUGAAAAUGAACACUCUUUGUCAAUAAUCUAACAUUUUAGUUUAAUUUUUUCAGUAUUUGGAAAUUUAUUUGGUGAGGUUUAAGGGUUUAAAUCUUAAUAAAUCAAGUACAAUGUACAAUGGUCAAAUUGGAUCAUUUUCGUUUGGGACCUUUUACUUUUUCUUUGUCAUAUGAAAAUUAGAAUUAAUUCAUGUUAGUUUAUCUAUUUUUAUCUAUGUGGGGUGAUCUUUUUUCGUAUAUUUCUACUAUUUUUCCUCUUUCAAACUAGGAGGGGUGGUAUUUGACCAAGAUGUAUCUAUAUAUUUAGUGAGGAACCGCUUGAUUAUAGUGAAACUUUAAUUUUAUAUAUUUAGUGAGGAACCGCUUAAUUCGGCUUCAAAUGAUCAAAGCUAAAAGCUGCCAAGGCACCGCAUUAUUUCUAUAUGUAGAUAAACGUGUGUAGAAUUAUUUUAUUGACAAAGAACUUUGAAAAGUCCUAUAUUUCGUUUCACGUACUAUCAAGUAUCAAGACAUGCUAGACCUCAGACCUCUUUGGCUCCUACUAUUUAUUUUUGGAUUAAAAAGAAAAGUAGCUUGCUCUAGAUUGCACAGUAUUGACUCUGGGACAACAAGAUUGUUUUUACUUUGACUCAUUUUUAUAGUUUACACACUUUUGUAUUGGCACUUCUUAUUGCAUUAUUUAUGUUAUUACACUUUGUUCCAAUGAUACAUAAAUAAAGUAUUUCUAAGCGAGAAAAGAAAAAUAGAUCAUAAAUAUUUUUAAUCAAUCAUUUAUCAUUUGGUGGAGAAAUAUAUAGUAUUUUAUUGCUAUAAGUAUAGAUUAUUAAAAAUAAUAAGACAUAAAUUUGGAUAUUUUCCUUUAACUAUUCAUGUCAACUAAAUGGGGGGAUUGAAGGGAAUUUUGUGAAGAGAAAAUGGAUUAUGAGAGUAUGAGACUUGAACUAUUGAUUGGUUUGUGUAGAUAUAUGCAUACCACAUGGGAAUUCACAAUCAAAUAUGUCUUUGUUCUAAUCGCCAUGUAAGCUCUAUACAGAGGAUAAGCUGAUUCGCUUAAAGAGAAUUUUUUCUAUGAUCAGGUCCGAAUCAUAUUGUACAUGAGCAGGCUCCGUAAGAUCCAGUAUAAGUGAACUGGAUAAAUCGGAAUCAAGAUUUUAUAUUUUGCUUUCCUCUUUUCUUAAAAGAAAAAUCACUAGGUAUUUAAUGAAUUAUUAGUAUAAUAUUACUAGUUGAUUUGGUUUCGAUUAUAGUCAUUCUUAAAUAUUUGUUCUAUUUUAUGUGAACUUUUGUGGGAUACGAGGGUUAAGUUAACUAAUUUUUAGUAUGAAUUUAAAUAUAAAAUUUUUAAAAUAAAAUUUACAUAUUUAGAAAUUAUAUAAAAAGUAAUAUAAGUCAUAAUAGUUAAUAUUUUAAAAUACUUAAAAAAUAUUUGCAAAAAAUAUGGUAAUUUUUUUUUUAUUUAACUUCUCAAAUAAUAAUAUGUUCACAUAAAGUGAAACAAGGGAAUAAUUAACUAGGAGUACAUGUUAUAUGGAAUAACUGCUCUAGUAUUCAAUAGACAAAUUUGGUUGAUUCUCGUAAUAUCCAAUUCUUUUAGGUAUACUUAUGCUUCCUAAUAAAGAAAAGUAUUUGUGUCCAUCCACAGAUAAAUGUAACGAACUUUUAAUUGCACAUACCAUGCGAGUAUUCGUAUUUAUAAUUGGACUAGGAUAAUAUUGCCUUAGGUAGAAGAAAAAUAAGUUAAUCCCUCUCCCUCUCUUACCUGAAUUAAAACUAGCUAAUACUACUAUCAGUUUUCAAAACUCUCCAGGAGGAAUGUAAAUCCUGACAUCCUCCCUUUUACCACUUCCCGUUUAUUAUACUCUCUCCGUUCAAUUUAUAUGAAUCUAUUUUCUUUUUAAUCCGUGCCAAAAAAAAUUACCUCUUUUCAAAUUUAGAAAUAAUUUACCUUUUGUGAUGACCCAAAAGGUCAUCUUUAAAUUUGAUAAUUAAUUCUGUGUUCUAAGACCUCGAAAAGCACUAUUUAUCACUCCUCGACUUGCGUGCGCAGUCUGUACAAUUUUUCGUAAAGUUUUUAUGUGAAAAAUGGAUUAAAAUGUGAAAUAGAGCCUUACAACUCAGUUGAGUUGACUUUGGUCAACAUUUUGAGCAAACAAACUUGGAUCAGUAUUUUGACAGUUCCGGUAGGUCCAUAUCGUAAUUUGGGACUUGGACGUAUGCCCGAAAUUUAAUUUGGAGGUCCCUAACUCAAGUUAUGACCAUUUAACGGAAAACUAGUAAUUUAAAGGAUAAAGAUUUCCAAAAGUUUGACCAUGGAUUUGACUUUUUGAUAUCGGGGUCGGAAUUCGAUUCUGAAAACUGGAAUAGCUCUGUUAUGUCAUUUAUGACUUGUGUGCCAAAUUUAAAGUCAUUUCGGAUUCAUUUAAUAUGUUUUGACACGAGAUUUGCAAAUUGAAAAAUUUAAAACUCAAAAGUUUGAAUCGAGGUGUGAAUUGUAAUUUCAGUGUUGUUUGAUGUGAUAUGAGACCCCUAGUAAAUCCGUAUUAUGUUACGGGACUUGUUGGUAUAUUCGAACGGGGUCCCGAGUAUCCCGAGUGUGAUUCGGAUCGAAAUCGGAUUAAAUUGUGAACUUAAGCAAAUUCUGAAAAUUUGCUACCUCUGAUGUAAUUGCACAUGCGAGGGUCUUGGCCGCAGGUGCGGCGGAAUUGCGCAGAUGCGGGACUGGGCUGGGCUGGGAUCUUUGCAGGUGCGGCAAUUCUGCACAAAAGAGGAUGUCGCAGGUGCGACAGGAGUGUCCGCAGAUGCGGAACUUCACCUGGCAGCCUGGCAUCGCAACUGCGAGCCUUGUCUCGCAAAUGCGAGUCCGCAAAUGCGGAACUUUUAUUCGCAGAUGCGAAAAUGACUGGGCAGAGCCCAUAAAUUCGGAAGUCGCCAUUUUUACUCAUUUUUGAGUUUUCAGUCUCGGAUUUGGGCGAUUUCAAAGGGGAUUUUCACGACUUUGAAGUGUAUUUGAGGAUUUCAGACACUAAUUCGCGAGGUAAGGGUGUAUUGAAAACUUGAAAUUUGGUUGCGAAGCGAAGUAAGUAUCAUGGUUAACCUUGACUUGAGGGAAUAAAAUCAUUAAAUUAUUUGUUAUGUGAGAUGUAUGUGAAUCACGUAUAGGCAAGGUGGCGAGUGUCUAUACGUAGUCAAAUUAAUUGUUUGCAUAAUUACUUGAAAAAUCAUAAAUUGUUUUUAAAUCAUGAAUGAAUUAUUAUAUUAUUUGUUUCACUCAUAUUCCUUGUCAAAUAUUAAUUCUUGAAUUUCUGCAAUAAUUGUUACAUGCUUAUUUGACUUAUGUGUCUUAAUUGCUAUUUGACAUUUAGCAUACUAAAUAUUAAACUGCCUAUUUUCUCCAUAAUUUUUAUAAUUAAUUGCUAAUUGCCAUUGUUUGUUCAUAAAUAAAUUAUAAUUAUUGCGUGCCUUGAUACUUAAUAGUUUCUCAUUGGACGUAGUAUUUAUUGGAGUAAUUUUUAUUACAUUUAUGAGUUGUUAAAAUAUAUUGGGGGAACGGAUUGCACGCCGCAACGGAAAUGAAAGUAAAUAUAUAUAUUGGGGGAUCGAAUUGCAUGCCGCAACAGACUUAUUUAAAAGUCUAUAUUGGGGGAUCAGAUUGCAUGCCGCAACAGACUUGUUUAAAGUUUAUAUUGGGGGAACGGGUUGCACGCCGCAAUGGAAACAAGUUGAGGAAUUGUGACUGCUGAGUUGAUUUCGAUUAUUAAUAUUAUUUACUGGUCUUACUAAUAUUCCCGUUAUUAUUAUUGUUGCUAUUACUAUUAUUGCGUACAUGUUAAUGUAAGUGACCCGCCUUAGCCUCGUCACUACUUCGUCGAGGUUAGGCUCGGUACUUACCAGUACAUGGGGCCGGAUGUACUGAUACUACACUGUGCACUUCUUGUGCAGAUUUCGGAGUUGGUCCCAGCGGUGUACCAUAGAUUUGCUCGGAUUUCAGCUAUCCAGAGGAGACUUGAGGUAUAACUGUACAACGUCCGCAGUUCUGAAGUCCCCGUCUACUUUACUUUAGUUGUGUGUUUGCUUUCAGACAACUUUAUUUUAUUCAGACUCUUAUUUGUAUCAUUCUAGAAGCUCGUGCACUUGUGACUCCAGUUCUGGGAUGGUAUUUAGACAUCGCUAUUAUUAUGAAUUAUUCACUACAUUUCAGACUUUACUUUCGCAUUUGUUUCUUUGUUAUUAAUUAAUUUAAAAUUGUUUUAAAAUGACUAAUUUUAUUCUAACGUUGGCUUGCCUAGCGAGUGAAAUUUUAGGCGCCAUCACUGUCCCAAAGGUGGGAAUUUCGGGUCGUGACAUCUUUAUGCAAUGAUUUAUAGCCACACAAAAUAUAUGUGCCUCAUUUUACACCACAAGUUCAAAAGUCUUCACUUUUUUUUUUAAAAUUCCGUGCCCAAUCAAAUAGGUUCACAUAUAUUGAAACAAGGAGAGUAAUUUGUUUUUUAAAAAAUCCACGCUUAUCCUAUCGUACGAGAUGAAGAAAUGAACACAUCAUCCAUUUCUUCGAUUUAAAAAAAAAAAAAUAAAGUUUCAUAUUCCAAAGUUCAAACAAUAAAGUCACGUUUGUAAGGACGGAUGGAGCAGUAAGACUCGUCCGUCCUGAUCUUGUGCCCUAUUAUUUAAUUUUUUUUUUUAAAGAAAAAGAAAGGAAUGGCCACUAGAGUCUAAACUCAUCUAAUAGAAUAGUAUCAUUAUUAAGGAAAUAAAUGAACUUUGUUUAUUGAUUUUGGUUACUGAGCCCUUUAUUUUUGUUUUGGUUAUCGAACAACAACAACAAAAAAGAAGUCAACAAUCUUUGCCAAGUCAAAUCGGAGUAAACAAGUAGGGGUGGGCGUAAAGCAGCAAAAUUGGUCCCAAUUUGACCAAGAGGAAGUCCGUAUGUUAGAACUUAGUGCUUAGGCGAUUUAUAGUUUCAUAGUAUAAUAAUAUUAGAACAAUUGAAAUCUCCUACAGGAAUCCAUCAUUAUUGACUUUAUCAUUGUAUAUAUAGUUACCUCAAUUGUGAAUACUACCUACUACCUAUCAAUUCUGAUAACUUAAGGAUAUUUUGGUACGUCGGUUUAACUACUUAAAUGAUAACUCAAUCUUGUUUAACAACGUUCUUCCUUCAUCACUCAAUAGAAUAAAUUAACAUAAUACGAGUAGAAGUUUUUAGGGGUCAAUAUUGCUCAAUUAUAUGUGUACACCUCGGUAUUAGCUCGAAAAAAAUGUAAAAUUUGACAUGCACCAAACAAAUGAACUUAAGAUAUAUAUCUUGUGUACAAACUUUUUUUACUUAACUAAAGUUAAACUAUACCAUGUAUUUUCAUUUUAAUUUCUGAUUCUUUUUGUUAAAUUAUUUAGUUCAUGCCAAUAUUAGGGUGCCAAUAUAUUUUUUCCGUCUCAGCAAUAUCGUUAAGUGCAUUUGUAUCUUCUAAGUAGAAACUUGUUAUCUUGAGAGUUGCUAAGCAUGGAUUUCUUGCCAGGGUUGAUUUUUUUUCAUUCAAUUUGAACGGCAACGGGGUAAAGAAAUGACAAGUUCAAGAUUGGCAGCUACAAGCAAUGGGAAUUUUCAAAGAAGCAGAACCUCAAUAUAUAAUGUAAGCAGCAAGAACAAUGAAACUGUAUACCAAAAUCGAAAUUAUGAGAAUCAUGACCGACGCAAAAAAAUGUUGAGAAUCUUGAUAACCCAUCGUCCAAAUUCUUUGGAUAAGUGGAGUCCCCUCAUUUUAAAUUAUAAUUGUAUGUGGUAAAAUUGGUUAAUGAUAGCCGGGUGAAAAAUGGAGUGAUACAUGGAACUAAAGACAGGUGGGAUGUAAGUCAGCAAACAGUUGGCACUGAGUGCAAGCAUACGAUCAGUGCUGAAUGAAUUCCGAAGACAGAGCAGCCGGUAACAAAGGUUCAAAACAUUGUCAUCGGAUAUCAUUCAAUAGGCAGCCGUUACAGAGAAUAUCUGUAUUUAUAGCCAAUCGUUAUACACCCAUCAAUGCCGAUUUUAUUCUCAUUCAAGAGGAGCUUGAUUGGAGAAUUUUGCCACCCUGAAUCAAGCUAUAAAUUAGGAGGACUAACAUCCAUUGUAGGCACAAGAAACUCUGUACAAAAAAAGCUAUAAUCUAUUGUCUUAUUUCGCUCAAUUUGAACACUUGAACAUUGCAUUCACUCUUGUAAUCGGAAAGGCUAAGUUCUUAGUCACGCUUGUUAUCUCCUUUAAUUUCAUUCGACAAUCUUAUCUUCAUUCUUAAUUAUUUAUUAUUUUGGAUCAAAUCGAUUCGCUUGUCUAUAAACCACGCUAUAAAUUCAACUUUACCGUUUUACGGAUAAAUAGUUUGGCGCCGACUGUGGGGCAUAGACAACUGUGUAAUUGCUUUGAUCCAUUCUUUUGUUACUAACAAGUUUUGACUCUUUCCUUAGAAAAAUCAGAUAUGGCAGCUAAUGAUGUCAAUAACGUUUAUAACAUUGGAGCACAUAAUGAAAUGGAAGAUGUGUUCCAGCGUGAUGAUUCAACCAACAAAACUCGCAACGAAGAGGAUGAAGCAACCCCGGUUCGCAAAGGACAAUAUCCUCAACAUGUGAGGGGCCCAACUCCUGAUAAUGCGGAGGAUGAGCACAUUGUCGAAACAGUCAAAAUCUUGAGAGAAUAACAAAAGGCGAUUAUGCGUCACAUCUCGAGGCAAGAUCGUGUGAUGAUGGAAUUGAAUCAGGCAUUAUCGAGUGCUUCCAAUAACGCUAAUGGAAGGGCUCUGAUUCCUCUCAUCAUUCCUGCAAAUCAGAUGGCUCAAAGGACCGAUAACAACACACCGAAGGAUGAAGUCGGUUUCGAUGAAAUCGGAGGGACCAGUAGCGGAUCUGGGAACAACAACUUGAAUGAUCCUUUCAAAACCGAGCUCAUGAGAUUCAUGAGAGAAAUGAAUGAACGAAUGGACCGGAACGCGAAGGAUUUUCAUGCUCAGAUGGAUCAGAUCCCAGGCGCGCCGUCGAUGUUAAAAGGAAUAGAUUUGAGGAAGUAUAUGCAGUUUCCAUUUAAACCAAGCGCGACACCGGAGUUGAUCCCGAAGAGGUUUAAGAUGCCAGGUAUUUCAAAGUAUGAUGGAACGUCGGACUCACAUGAGCACAUCACGACCUAUACCACGACGGUAAAAGAAAACGACUUGGCUCAGCACGAGAUCGAGUUGAUUUUGCUGAAAACGUUUGGUGAAACCCUCACGAAGGGUGCCCUGACAUGGUAUUCUCUCUUAGCUGAGCAUUCAAUCGAUUCAUUUAAAAUGCUUGUAGAUUCAUUUAUCAAAACUCAUGCUGGAGAAAGAAAGGUCCAGGCCAGGGAGGUGGGCAUAUUCAGAAUUUCUCAAGCAGAAUCCGAGCUGUUGCAUGAAUUCGUAAUCCGGUUCCAGAAAGAAAGAAUGAUGUUACUAGUGGUUCCGAAUGAGUGGGCAGGGGAGGCAUUUACAAAGGGUCUCAAUCCACUGAGUUCUGACGCCUCCCAGAAGUUGAAGGAGAGAAUGCUCAAGUUUCAGGCAACCACAUGUGUAGACAUUCAUAAUCGCUACGAGUCGAAGAUAAGAAUAGAAGAUUAUAAACUUAAUUCCUUGACGUCCUCUAAAGGACAAAAUCAUGAUCGGAAUCAGGAUAAAUUCAAAAGUGAUUUUGAUGUAGAUCAGAGACCCCUAAAGGUCGUUUCCAACCUUACGAAAGAGCUGAUGGGUGUGGUAAUAAAGGAUUCCAGUCAUCAGAUAAGUUCACUUCCGAUAGAAGGACGGAUCGUGAUCGAAGUAGCAGAUCAUUGAAGGAAAAAGAGGUGUCGGGUUCCAGAGAUUCAGCGUUGACCAGGUUAUCCGAUUAAAACUUUAAUAUCAUCUUGGUAGAAUUGGUUUCAUUAAUGAGGAAUAUCAAAUAAGCACGGUUUCUGAAACCACUCCGAUCAGAUCCUAGCCAAAGGGAUCCUAAUCUUUGGUGUGAAUUCCAUGGGACUCACGGCCAUAUAAUUGGGGAUUGCCGACAUCUUUGCGAGGAGGUGAUGACGUUGUUGAAGAAUGGCCAUCUCAGAGAGUUCUUAAGUGACCGCACCAAAAUCAAUUAUGUUAGAAGCUGGGACAAUGCGGAGCCAUCAAAGAUAGUAGCUGGGUCACCUCGGAUGACAAUUAACAUGAUCUUAGGAGGAGACGAAGUCAAUGGGGUGACUUUUUGGCAGCAAAAAAGAUGAAAAUAUUGGUGACUCAAUGUCAAGAGAAUCUGAGAAGCCGCAGAAGAUGACAUUACCUUCACGGAGGAAGAUGCUGAUGGACUCCUUCUUCUGCACAAUGAUGCUUUGGUAAUUUCUCUUAAUGUUUUAGAUUUCAAAAUUAAUCGUGUAUUAAUUGAUCCAUGAAGUUCAGCCAACAUCAUAAAAUGGAGGGUUCUAAAGCAAGAGAAGUUGAUCGGGAACAUCAUUCUGGCGACAAAGCUUCUAGCUUGCUUCAACAUAACAAAUGUCAUGACCCGAGGAGAAAUUUUGCUGCCCACGCACACCAAAAGAGUAACGAAGACCGCUUUGUUCGAAGUGGUAGAUGGUGACAUGGGUUACAAUGUAAUCCUCAGAAGGCUGUGGAUACACUAGAUGAAGGAUGUGCCCUCGACCUAUCAUCAACUGUUGAAAUUUCUGACACCAGAAGGGAUCAAACAGAUAAGAAGAGACCAACCGACAGCAAAAGAGAUGAACGUUGUAACCAUUUCCAGCAGCAAGGAUAGAAAAACCAGCAAAUAGUAAUUACAGGAACCGGUGCCUUCUCCCAUUCCAAUUGAAGAUGAUAAAAAUGGGGAUUCAUAGGAAUUAUAUCAGGUACAGAGAUCUUUCAGGUACCGUAGGAGACGGAUGCGACCAAAUCAACUACAGAAGAGUUCGAAUAAGUGGCUUUGUUCGAAGAAUUUUUGGAAAGGAAAUUCCAUUUUGGAACGAGGUUGAGUCCCGAACUCAGGGUAAAACUUAUAGAUUUUCUUAAAUCUAACAUUGACUGCUUUUCAUGGUCGUAUUCAGAUAUGACAGGUAUUCUGUUAGAGGUGGCGAUUGUCACGACCCAAACUGCAGGGCCGCGACGGGCACCCGGUGCCUUACUCAACCGAGUACCAACGUAACAUAUCUUUUUUAUCAUACCAUCAUGGGUAAAUGGGCCAGAAGGGCCGGCAUGAGAUAACCAAAAUANNNNNNNNNNNNNNNNNNNNNNNNNNNNNNNNNNNNNNNNNNNNNNNNNNNNNNNNNNNNNNNNNNNNNNNNNNNNNNNNNNNNNNNNNNNNNNNNNNNNNNNNNNNNNNNNNNNNNNNNNNNNNNNNNNNNNNNNNNNNNNNNNNNNNNNNNNNNNNNNNNNNNNNNNNNNNNNNNNNNNNNNNNNNNNNNNNNNNNNNNNNNNNNNNNNNNNNNNNNNNNNNNNNNNNNNNNNNNNNNNNNNNNNNNNNNNNNNNNNNNNNNNNNNNNNNNNNNNNNNNNNNNNNNNNNNNNNNNNNNNNNNNNNNNNNNNNNNNNNNNNNNNNNNNNNNNNNNNNNNNNNNNNNNNNNNNNNNNNNNNNNNNNNNNNNNNNNNNNNNNNNNNNNNNNNNNNNNNNNNNNNNNNNNNNNNNNNNNNNNNNNNNNNNNNNNNNNNNNNNNNNNNNNNNNNNNNNNNNNNNNNNNNNNNNNNNNNNNNNNNNNNNNNNNNNNNNNNNNNNNNNNNNNNNNNNNNNNNNNNNNNNNNNNNNNNNNNNNNNNNNNNNNNNNNNNNNNNNNNNNNNNNNNNNNNNNNNNNNNNNNNNNNNNNNNNNNNNNNNNNNNNNNNNNNNNNNNNNNNNNNNNNNNNNNNNNNNNNNNNNNNNNNNNNNNNNNNNNNNNNNNNNNNNNNNNNNNNNNNNNNNNNNNNNNNNNNNNNNNNNNNNNNNNNNNNNNNNNNNNNNNNNNNNNNNNNNNNNNNNNNNNNNNNNNNNNNNNNNNNNNNNNNNNNNNNNNNNNNNNNNNNNNNNNNNNNNNNNNNNNNNNNNNNNNNNNNNNNNNNNNNNNNNNNNNNNNNNNNNNNNNNNNNNNNNNNNNNNNNNNNNNNNNNNNNNNNNNNAUUUGUACACUCAAAACAUAGGCCGACAAGGCCAUACAAGUAUCCAUAUACAUGACAUCUGUCUGCAAGCCUCUAAGACUACAUAAACGUCAUAAAGGUUGGGACAGGGCCCCGCCAUACCAAUCAAUACUUGUCCAAAUCAUACUGACUAAAUAGGCAACUCCGGAGCAAGUGGAGUGCACCAACAUCUUCCGCUGAGCUGAUAGCCUAUUAGAAGGAGUGUCAACCUGUCUAUCGGGACUUGCGGGCAUGAAACGCAGCAUCCCCAGGCAAAAGGAAUGUCAGUACAAAUAAAGUACCGAGUAUGUAAGGCAUGAAAAGUAGUAUAUAAAAGACUUGAAAGAAACAUGGAGUAAAGAACUCAAUCUCUAAGUCUGAAUAGCUCGGUGAAUCAUGAAACAUUUAUAAUGUCAUGCAUAUGCAUAUAAAUGUCAUAUCAUGCGUAGGUAUAUGCGUACAUAACAUCAUCAAGCCUCUGAGGGCAUCCCAUCAUAUCAUCUCGACCUCUGUAGGCGAAAUCUUCAACGUAUACCAGCUGAUCAGGUGGUGGUGCGUAUAUAACGCCAUAACCUUUUUCCAUACCCCAUAUACAUAUAAUAUACGCGUAUAUAACGCCAUCUAUUCAUGAGUCAAUGUACAUGUAUAAAUGAAUGCAAUGCAUAAGAAGUAAGUCAAUAAGAUCUCUCGGGAUGUCAUAAAAUCAAUAUGCCUUCGAUUAAUAUCAUGGAAUAAACUUUAUCAACUUGCGUAUUUUCUUAGACCCAUGAACAGAUGAUAUAAUAAUAGGACACAUGAAAAAUCAAGAACAUAGGCAUCCUUAGUACUUCUAAGAAUAGAGUCACUUGUGAAAGUUACGUGUUUGCUCAUUUAGUUGUAACAUAUGGAUCAUGCCAAAAGAAAAGAAGGGAUAGCCUUAACAUACCUUAACUCCAUUGAGUCCUUAAUAACUUCCAGGAAAUUCUUCAAACAACUCAACUCAAUCUACCAUAGCAUAAGGAGAUUCAAAAUUAGUGCUGAAUAAAGGCUAAGUCCGCAACUUAAACUAGUAGCUUAUUUAUAUAAAUUUCGGCAGCAUCUCCCUUGUAACAAGGGCCUCCUACAAUACCAUAUACCAAUAACAACAACCAGAGAAAUACAAUAAGAACAACAUCAACAAUAGGGUACAGAAUAUUUCAUUAACUAGUCAUCAACAUAUCACGACGAGCGGCAAGCUCAGAUUGAAUCCUUUAGCACCCUUCAACUCCAUUAUCAUUCAUUCUUGAACUUAGUAAUAUAUCCAGUAUAAUAACCAAUACCUUUUAAAUGAUUUUCAACUUGUACUCAAUUUCAAAGUUACCCGAAAUAGCCUAACACAAGAUAAUAUCACUAUGGACAACUUCCAAGUGCUUUAUAGCCAUUUCUUUUCUAGUUACCAAUUUCCUCAACAAAAUUGACAUGUAAACCAACAUAAUCAUACUAACAAUAUCAUAUCUAACUUAUUUUCCAUAAUUUCUAUCCAUAUGAAGUCAUAUACACAACUCCAAAAUAGUCCAAUAAGAGACAAUAACUUUUUAUACAACUUCAAGUUCUAUCUCGUAAUUCUUCAUCCAAAUAACUUAACCAACACAUAGAUAAGCUUAAGACCAAGCAAUAGGGUAUUAUACAUACCUUAAAUAAUCAGAACAAACUCGAACCAAAGCUUCCCUUACCUUACAAGCACCCUUAAUGGCAUCACAACACCAUAGAGACUCUUUUCUUCACUUAGGCUAAUAUUUGAGGUUAGGUCUAGGCAAAACCACCUUGGGUUCGACUUGGAACCAUGGAGGACUGUUAUAGAGGUGUUUAGAGAGUUUGGGAACUGUCCUUGGUCGAAAAUGACCAAAACUGAGCCGUUCAAACCCUUUAAAAUGGUCAAGGGUCAUCCACCGCCUAAGUGGGUCCCAUUGGGAACUGCUUGCGCAGUCUCGCAAAAAUGCGUAUAUCUCUCUACUCCGAUGUCGUAUUGAUAAACGGUUUAAUGCAUUAGAAACAAUACUCGUAGAUAUUCAAUUUGAUAUGUGGGUUAUCCUGUAAUUCCAAGUAUAUUACGAGAAAAGCUCUGCUACAUUUGAUCUAAUUUUCAGCACAUUAUGAAUAUAACUUGUGAUGACCUUUGCCAACUUUUGUUUCAUAACUCGUUUGACUUCAAAACGUAACACACGACUAUCAUAUGACCAAAAUAACUCAUAACAUAACUUCCUUAUCAUGUUAAGAACCCUAGUCUCAUCCUAAAGUACAUGUUAUAAUAUUCCCAACUUGUCGACUUUUGGUCCACAAAUUGAGUAUGGAUCCAAACUUCCCAUCGGUGCAAAAGAAACGCCCGAUAGCAGAGGUCAGAAACGGGUUUGUUAAGGAAAAGGUAACCCGACUACUCAAUAUCGGUUAAAUUCGAUAGGUAAGGUACUCGAAAUGGUUAGCUAACGUAGUGGUAGUGCCUAAAAAAAAAUAACAAAUUUAAGAUAUGUGUAGACUAUAAGGAUUUAAAUAAGGCGUGUCCCAAAGACUUCUUCCCAUUGCCAAACAUUGAUCAAAUGAUCGAUGCUAUGACCGGGCACGAGUUAAUGAGUUUUCGUGAUACUUAUUCCUGGUAUAACCAAAUCAGGAUGAACCUGGAAGAUCAAGAGAAGACCUCUUUCAUCACAAACUUUGGCACAUAUUGCUAUAAUGUGAAGCCUUUUGGGCUUAAAAAUGUGAGAGCCACUUAUUAGAGGCUCGUUAAUAAGAUGUUUGAAAAGCAGAUAGGUAAGACGAUGGAAGUCUAUAUUGAUGACAUAUUUGAUAAGUCUCUUAAUGUAGGAUAUCACCCGGGACAUCUCCAAGAGACGUUUGAUAUUCUGAGGAUGUACAACAUGAAGAUCAACCCGGAGAAGUGUGACUUCGGGGUGGGAUCUGGUAAAUUCUUGGGGUUUUUGGUCUCACAAAGAGGGAUCGAAGUAAGCCCCGACAAAAUCAAAGCCAAUGAGGAUAUCCCGGACUAGCUAACAAGUGCGAAAGAAGUACUGAGGUUGAACGAUAGGUUGGCGGCACUAAGCAGGUUCAUAUCAAGGUCCUCAAAAAAGUUCCACCACUUCUUUUCACUUUUGAAAAAGAAGAACGGCUUCGUGUGGACUCCAGAAUGCCAACAGUCACUGAAGGACCUAAAGAGGUACCUAUCCAGCCCUCCGUUAUUGUCAAAACUGGGGGAAGGUAUGUAACUGGUAAUUUACCUGGCGGUCUCGAAAGUAGAGGUAAGCGCCAUCUUGGUUCGGGAAGAAGAAGGUACGUAAUUUCCUGUUUAUUACGUUAGUAAAAUACUACCAGGAGCGGAGACACGGUAUCCGCACCUAGAAAAACUAGCCUUAGCUCUCGUAGUUGCCUCCCGAAAGCUUAGGCUUUAUUUCAAAUAUCAUCCGAUAACCGUUAUGACAACCUUUCCCUUAAGGAAUGUCCUUCAUAAGCCUAAGUUGUCAGGUCGGUUGGCUAAAUGGGCAGUCAAAGUUAGCAAAUUCGACAUUGAAUACAAGCCUAGGACUGCAAUUAAGUCAUAAGUUUUGGCCGACUUCGUGGCCUAUUUUCGCCCGGGAUUAAUGCAUUUAGCUACUAAAGAAACAGUUCUGGUAUCAGGAAUGGUAUUGGGAGUUUGGAACUUAUUUAUGGAUGGAUCCUACAACAUAAAAGGGUCUGGUCUCGGGGUAGUACUAAUCACUCCUUUGGGGGAAACCCCAAGACAAGCCAUUAGAACUGUGCCUUUGAUUAACAAUGAAGACAAGUACGAGGCUUUGGUUGCAGGACUAGAACUAGCUCGGGGACUUAGCUCCGAGGUCAUCGAGGUUAAAUGCGACUCCCAGCUGGUGGUAAACCAAGUGUAUGAAAUUUUUGAUACGAAGGAGGAGUGCAUACAACAGUACUCGAACAAGGUUCAAGCAUUACUUACACGAUUCAGAAAAUGAUCAAUCGUCCACAUUACGAGGGAGGAAAAUGUGGAGGCAGAUGCAUUAUCUAACUUGGGUUCAUCCGUGGAGAUGAAAGAAUUCGAUUCCGGUGCGGUCGUCCAAUUGUUGCAUUAUGUGUUGGAUGCGGACAACUAUUGUGAAGUUAAUUCAAUCAACUUUAUCAGGGACUGGAGGAAUGAGUUCAUUGAAUAUCUCAAACAUGGUAAAUUACCCGAGGACCUAAAAACGUCCUGGGAACUACGGGCUAAGGUAACUCGUUAUUGUCUUGUUGAUGGAUACUUAUACAUGAGGUCGUUUCAAGAACCAUUGGCUCGGUGUCUAGGGGCCUUGGAGGCUGAUUACAUGAUGAUGGAGGUUCAUGAAGGAGUAUGUGGAAACCAUUCCUGUGUAGACUCAGUGGUUCUCAAGUUAGUCAGGGCUGGCUACUAUUGGCCUCGCAUGGAACAAGACGCAAAGGCAUUCACACAAAUGUGCAAAAAAUGCCAACACAAUGCAUAAUUAGUGCAUCAACCAAUGUAAGCAUUCCGUAUGUCACCGUGGCCAUUCAUGAAAUAGGGAAUGGACAUAGUCGGUCCCUUACCAUAAGGACCCAGGAAGGUAAGAUUUCUUUUAGUUUUAAUUGAUUAUUUUAAUACAUGGGUUGAAGCAGGUGAUUACCAAAAUAUCGGAGAACGUGAACUGGUUAAUUUUAUAUGGGACAACAUCGUCUGCCGAUUUGGAAUACCGAAGGAGAUUGCUUGUGAUAACGGGCCUAAAUUCAUAGGUUCAAAAGUCACAAAAUUUUUGGAAGGAUUGCAGAUCAAAUGAAUUACGUCUUCACCGUACCACCCGUGUGCUAAUGUACACGUGGAGUCAACCAAUAAUGUAAUUAUUCAAAACCUUAAAAAGAAGUUAGAAAAUGCUAAGGGCAAGUGGCUGGAUGAGCUACCAAGUAUUUUAUGGGCAUAUCGGACCACAACGAAUUCAAGCACGGGAGAAAACCCCUUAUCGCUCAUGUACGGUUCAAAGUCUUUGAUACUGGUAGAAGUGGGAGAACCGACCUUAAGGUUUUCCCAAGCAAACAAAAAAACAAACAAUAAAGCACUACUGGUCAAGCUAGAUUUGCUUGAAGAGCACAGGGAUCUGGAAUAUAUGAGGAUGGUGGCACAGAAGCAAAUAAUGGAAAGGUAUUACAAUCGCGGGGCAAAUCUAUGAUAUUUUAAAGUUGGGGAUUUUGUUCUGAGAAAAGUCAUUUAAAUCACUCGGGAAGUUAACGCCGGGAAGCUGGGAUCAACAUGGAAAGGACCUUACUGGUUUUUAGCUAUAACCGGUAAAGGCGCAUGCGAAUUGGAAAAUCAAUAUGGAGUUAAAUUAUCAAGCAAUUGGAACGUGACUCACCUCAAAAGGUAUUAUUGCUGAAGAUCCUUGCUGGUACUAAAAGUAUGUACUGCACUCCUUUUCCCUUCGACCAGUUUUUUUCCUAAUUGGAUUUUUCUGGCAAGGUUUUUAAUGAGAUAACUAUGUAAAGCAUUCUACGAAGGAAGGAUCAUCGGUAAGCUGGUGGAUCAAUAACCAAAAGCUCUGUGUGGAUCAAUUCGUAUGGCAAUCAACAUGCAGAUGGUUAAAUAAUCUUUGGCCUGAUAGCAUAACUCGUCUCUCAAGACUCUCAUCGGCCUCCAGUAAUAGAUUGCUUAUCUAUCCACAAGCUGUUUCCAUUAAUGAGGAAGAAAUGCAAAAUCUCGCUAUGAAAGAAGUAUCAUCAGUGAAUGCAAGACCUCCAGUGUUCGAGUUCUCAUGCUUAGCAUCCGAACACUGUGGGGGGGGGGGAGGGGGGGAUAAUACAUGACAAGACACUAAAAGUAUUAUGAGAAUCGGGGACUGUUAGAAUCAAAGUGAAUGCCUUAUUAGGAUCGGGGACUCCAUGAUUAGCCCCGUAGAAAUAAGUUGUACAAGUUAACUACAUGUAUUGGUAGCUUAUUAACUUGAGAAAAUAAAUGUUUAUGUUAAUGUACUUUUAAAGAUAGAAGGAAUAAAUCGAAGUUCAUUUGUUUUUAUCUUAUUUCUUAUCCGAAUGAUAAGUUAAUUUUAUCAUUUGAGAGUUAGCACAAACUUCAAAUGCUUGUGCCGGAAUGAACAUGAGUUGUCCUUUUCAAGAGCACCAUAAACAUAAGGGCCCUCUCAUAUGAAACCCUCACAGUAAAGGAUAGAUUCCGGAAGUAUUUAUUCUCGGAAUCAAAAGCUAUCGGAUUUAGAAAUAUUCCCAAGGCUUUGUCAACUAAAUGAAAGAGAAUAUUUUUUGCACAACACUUAGGCAAAAAUGUUCUUUUAUUAAUUAAAGUGCCAAAAUUAGUAAAAGGUUUUGGCAUAAUUACAAAAGGUAAAAGAAAAAAAUGUAUAUACAUCAUUCUUUGUUGCCAAAACCCGAGUGAAGAGAAUGGUCUUCAUUUUCUCUGGUGAAAGAAGACUGUUCCGCUACCGGUUCGGGGCCUUCAUCUUCUUCGAUUGCCCCUUCGGUUUCCGAACUCAGUAUUAGUGUUCGAAGAAUCAGAUGCAGCAGUCUGAGAAGGAAGGUUCUCACGAGCAGUUAUCUCCUAUUCCCAAGCCUUGGCAAUGUAGUCAUCAAUAUUGACAAUGCCUCCUUUGGGCUCUUCCAAAGUCUUCCUCUUCAUAUGAUAAAUGGCGUAGGUUUUCUCGAAGAUGAGGAAAUCUUCUUGGACCUGGAGUUUCUCUUGGAGCUUAUCAAUCUUGGCUUGAAGCUUCUCGUUUUCAGCCUUCAUUGUGCUAAUUUUGGAAUCAAGCUCAACGUUGGUGGCUUAGUGAAUUCGAUUCUGCUCCAUGACUCUUUUGAAUCUUUCUUCCAUUUUGGCUCUCCUCUCCUCGGAAGCAUUGGCCUCCUCGGUUUCGUCACAUAAGCCAGCCUCCAAGUUAUUAACUUGUUCCAUGAAGGCUGACUCACGCUCGGCAAUAACAGUCACAGUAUCAUGAAGCUCAACCCACUUAGCCUUUGCUUCCUUAAGGUUUUCAUGUAGUUGGGCGGCUUCUAUGCUAUGGGAAUCCUAUAUUGUUCAGACUACUGUAGUCAUGCCUCGAGCUCAUCCAUUUGAGAAAUUUUUGCCUCCAGCACCGGGAGGCGCUCGGCGAGCUGAUUCCUUUCAGCCAAAAGUUGAUCUCAUUCUUAAGCAAGCCCCUGCUUGUCCAGGAUCAAACUUUGUAGGCCUUCAGAGGCAAGAAGGUUGGCCUGAAAAAGGGAUAGAACCAAAGUUAUUACUUCGAAAUAUAAGUCGAAAGAAGAUAGGAGGAAGUGAGGUUGCUACCAGUGCCAAACAAUGCAUGUUGUUGUUUAUUAGGCACACCCUUGAAAAGGAGUCCAUUUUUUCUAAUCCUUCGCUAAGGCCAGUUGAUUCAGAUAGUUCGAAAGCUCCACCUACUUGGAAAGCAUAUGGAACCCACUAGAAAUUGAGAUAAUAACACUUCUUCUGCUGUGAGGGUCCUGAGUGGGUGUCGAAUAAGUACUUUCCAGAUUCCCAUGAUAGGGAGACCUCGGGGAAGAAGGGCUCUCUAUUUGUUCAGCCUGGGCCGAUGGAGAAGGAGCAGCUGGUGCGGAUGGAGAAGAAACAACUGGUGUAGAAGGAAUGCCAGUUGUGGCUGGCUCAUAGUUAGUGCUAGAGAAAGGUCAAGGGUCAAACUCUUCUAACCAGAGACAUCGACAGGGAUCGGAAAGUGGGAAUCGUUAUUUUCAACUAAACCCAUUUCCCCAGAGUGCCUGAACUUCUUCUGUCGGUAGAUUUUGAAGCACUCUCGGCUGAGCAUCCAGUUGAGCUAAUGAAGACUUUUUUCUUAUUUGAUGAGGGGCAUCUUCAUCAUUAGCCCUUUCUUCAUCAUCAAUGACCACUGUGACCAGUCCGGUUGAUGAUCUUCUCACUCUCUUCUCUUAAGUCCCAGUUGAGGAGGUACACUUCCUCUUUGGUUUCUUUUUUUUAGACUGGGACUCUGGGAGGAAGCGCCCUCACCGGAGGCACGAAUAGAUCCUCAAUCCUUACUCCGACUAAGGUCACUCUUCAAUACCCAUUCGGUCUCCUCAAGGUAAUCGAGAGCCUCAACUUCAGGGAACAUGACGGAACCCUUUGGAAGUCCUGUGUGGAACAAAUGGAUAGUUAACAAAUUGUUUCUAAGUUGUUAAAAUUGAAAGAAAGAAGAAUUUUUGCUUACCGUGGUUCUUGGCUUUCCACCCAUACUUGGGAGCCAUCUCUUUCCACCAUCAAGAUUCUGGAGUAGUGAUAUCUAGAAUUUUUUGUACCUAUCGAUCCAGGACUUGAACCAGUGGUGGUUCCCAGUGAGUAGCUGGAAUGAAGGAAAUAAAAUGUCAGUUAAGAAGAAAGUUUUUUCACGAAGAAAAGAAACAAAAUAGAGAAAGACUUACGAAAAAGCUUCCAUGAUUUGGGAAAAGCUGGCGCUGUGGUUGGGAUGAUGUCUCUAGUAGCGAUGAAAACGAACCAUUUCAUCCAUCCACGGUCGUUGUCGUUUUCAAUGCUAGUAAAGAGGGCAUGAUGACAAUGCUUGCUAAGGUUUAACACACCCCCAUGGAAGAUCUUUGGGGAGUAAAGAUUCAUCAUAUGCACAAGAGUUAGGGUUUCCCCAGUUUCAGCGCAUAACUGGCUGAGGUAGGCCACUGUAUGCCAUAUGUAUGGGCCUACUUGUUCCAAGAAAACUUGGUAUCGGUGGCAAAAUUCUAAAAUUAUUUGGUCAAUUCGUUCACCCGCUUCCAAGAUGAAGGGAGCCAAAGUGAAGGGGUACGUGUAAACGUACAUAAACCCCGACUUGGUGUAAGUAACUCGCUCUAUCACAUCGGGGGUGAGAAUUUUGACGUUACUCCAAUUGUAUUCCUCCUUCACAAUAAGGAUGCCAAAAGGACGAAUAGAAGAAGGGUAUCUUUGGACAUGCCAGAACCUGUCACUUUUAGAGUUUGGAGGUGGUUUGUGUUCUUGAAGAUUAUAUGUCGUGUUUAGGUGAAGCGGUAUAAUGGUGUUUGCGGUUGGAGGUUCAGACUCGACGUCAACCUCCUUGGUUCGGUUCUUCUUUGGACCUCCUCUAAAGAGGAGGCCAGAAUUUUCGGGAACGACAAUGUUUGAAGACAUGUUUAUGGAGAUUUUGUUUUACUCAGAAAGUUGAAUGUUGUAGAAGAGCUCUAAGGAGAUUCGAAGAAGAAGAAGAAGGAGUUGUGAAAGUAAAGAGUGAGAAUGAUAAGUAGUGGAGAAGUUAUAGACGGAAAAAAUCGUGGUCAUGAUUACCUAUAAAACCGGCAAAAUUAUUUGCUAAAUCACGAGGCAACAUGUGUUCGGGUCAUUAAUUGCGAGAAGACGUGUGUCCUUUCAAAUGUCAGAGACCGUUCAGGAACCUUCCCGCCAAGAAAGGAAUUCUUAUCUACUACCCGGUAAGACUGAGUUGCGUCACCGGAAAGUAGGGGGACUAUCUGUAUGGGGUAAAAUUGGUUAAUGACAGCUGGGCGAAAGAUGAAGUGAUACGUGGAACUAAAGACAGGUGGGAUAUGAGUCAGCAAACAACUGACACCGGGUGCAAGCACGCGAUCGAUGCUGAAUGAAUCCUGAAGACAGAGCAGCUGGUAACAAAGGUUCAAAACAUUUUCAUUGGAUAGCAUUCAAUGGGCAACCAUUAUAGAGAAUAUCUACAUUAAAUUGUCAUCGGAUAGCAUUCAAUGGCAGCCGUUAUAGAGAAUAUUUGCAUUAAUAGCCAACCGUUAUACACCCAUCAAUGACGAUUUUAUUCUCAUUCAAGAGUGUCUUGAUUAGAGAAUCUUGCCUCUCUGAAUCAAGCUAUAAAUUAGGAGGACUAACAUUCAUUGUAGGCACAAGAAACUCUGUACACAAAAAGCUAUAAUCUAUUAUCUUAUUUCGCUCUAUUUGAACACUUGAACAUUGCAUUCACUCUUGUAAUUGGAAAGGCUAAGUUCUUAGUAACGCUUGUUUUCACCUUUAAUUUCAUUCGAUAAUCUUAUCUUCAUUCUUAAUUAUUUAUCAUUUUUGGGUCAAAUCGAUUCGCUUGUCUAUAAACCACGCUAUAAAUUCAACUGUACCAUUUUACGGAUAAACAGUUUGGCACCGACCGUGGGGCAUAGACAACUGUGUAAUUGCUUUGAUCCAUUCUUUUGUUACUAACAAGUUUUGACUCUUUCCUUAGAAAAAUCAGACAUGACAGCUAAUGAUGGCAACAGCGUUUACAGUGUUGGAGCACAUAAUGAACUAGAAGAUGUGUUCCAGCGUGAUGAUUCAACCAGCAAAACUCGCGACGAAGGGGAUGAAGCAACCCCGGUUUGUGAAGGACAAUAUCCUCAGCAUGUGCGGGGCCCAACUCCUGAUGAUGCAGAGGAUGAGCACAUUGUCGAAACAGUCAAAAUCUUGAGAGAACAACAAAAGGCGAUUAUGCGUCACAUCUAGAGGAAAGAUUGUGUGAUGAUGGAAUUGAAGCAGACGUUAUCGAGUGCUUCCAGUAACGCUAAUGGAAGGGCUCUGAUUCCUCCUAGCAUUUCUGCAAAUCAGAUGGCUCAAAGAAUCGAUAACUCAAAAUCCCGAAGAGGGCACAAUCGAUUGCAAAAACUCAAAAGCUUGACAUCGGCUAACAUUUAAUGAGCAUCUAUUACAGAGAAUAUCUGCAUUCAAAGCCAACCGUUAUGCACCCACCAAUGACAUUUAUAUUCUCAUUCAAGAAAGGGCUUGAUUUUAGGAUCUUGUCUCCUAAGGAGUAACUAUAAAUAUCAGAUUGACAUCUCUUGUACGAUAAAAAACAUUGUGCAUACAAAACUGUACUUCAUUAUUUUAUGUCCAAUCUAUUAGUUUUAUCAUCAUCUUAUCAUUGCUUUCAUUUUUGCUCUCGGAACGAUCGAGUUCGGAGUCAAGCUCGUUAUCUUCUUUAAUUUCAGUCGUUAAUCUUGUUUUUUUUUCCAUUUCUAUAUCAUUUUUGGAUCAAAUUAAUUCGUUUGUCUAUGAACCACGUUAUAAAUUCAACUACCAGUUUUACGGGUAAAUAUUUUGGCGCCCACCAUGGGGCAUAGACAACUGCGUAAUUUAUUUGAUCCAUUCAUUUAUUACUAAUAAGUUUUGGUUCUUUCCUUAGUAUAAACCAUAUAUGGAAGCUAGGGAUGUCAACAACACACACAACGUUGAAGAACACGUUAAACGGGAAGAAUUAUCCUGGUGUGAUGACUCAAUCAGCGAGACCCACAAUAAAGGGGACGACACAACCCCAGUUCAGGAAGAUCAAUAUCCUCGGCAUGUGCGGGACCCAACCCCUAAUGAUUCAUAGGAAGAGCAUGUCGUAGAGACGGUCAAACUCCUAAGGGAACAACAUAGAGCAAUCAUGGAUGACCUAUCAAGGCAGGAUCAGGUGAUGAUAGAGUUAAAACAAGUAUUGUAAGGUGCUUCCAAUAAUGUGAAUGGAAGGGGCCCGAUUCCUCCCAGCAUUCACACAAAUCAAGCGGUUCAGAGGACCGAUAACAAUACCCCAAGGGGCAAAGUUGGUUUCGAUGAAGCUAGAAGGACCGGAAUCUGAUCCGGAAAUAACAACGGGAGUGAUCCCUUCAAAAUCGUACUCAUGAGAUUCAUGAGAGAAAUGAAAGAGUGAAUGGUUUAAAAUACAAAGGAAUUCCACGCUCGGAUGGAUAAGAUUUCGGACGCGCCUCUAGUGUUAAAAGGUCCAGAUUCAAAAAAGUACAUGCAGUUGCUGUUUAAGCCAAGUGCAACACCAUAGUUAAUUCCAAAGAGAUUCAAGAUGCCGGACAUACCAAAAUGUGAUAGGACUUUGGAUCCACAAGAGAACAUCACAACCUACACCACGACGGUGAAAGGAAACAAUAUGGCUCAGUACGAGAUCGAGUCGGUGCUGCUGAAAAUAUUUGGUGAAACCCUCAUGAGGGGGCCCCUGACAUGGUACUUCCGAGCAUUCAAUUGAUUCUUUUGAAAUGCUUGCAUAUUCAUCCAUUAAGGCCCAUGAGGUAGCAAGAAAGGUUCAGACUAUAAAGACAGACAUAUUUAGAAUUUCACAGAGCGAGUCCGAGCUGCUGCGAGAAUUUGUGAUCCAGUUCUAGAGGAAAGGAUGUUGCUAUCGGUGGUUCUGGAUGAGUGGGUAGUGGAGGCAAUCACAAAGGGUCUAAACCCACUAAGUUCCUAUGCCUCACGAAAACUGAAGGAGAGUUUGUUUGGGCACAUGGGCGGACGUCCAUAAUCGAUAUGAAUCAAAGAUAAGGAUAAAGGACGACGAAAUUGGCUCUUCGGUGCCAACCAAGGGACGAGGUCAUGAUAAAAAUCAGGAUAAGUUUAAAAAUGACUCUGAUGCAGAUCAGAGGUUCUCCAAAGGCUGUUUGCUACCAUAUGAGAGGUCCGAUAGGCGCAACAGUAAAGGAUUUUAGUCAUCGAAUAAAUUUGUCCCCGACAGAAGGGCAGAUCGUGGCUGAAAUAAUAGGUCAUUAUAGGAAAGAGAGGUGUCGGGGGCCCGAGAUUCUGCAUAUCCCAAGUUAUCAAAUUACAACUUUAAUAUCAGCCUAGUAGAAUUGGUGUCGGCAAUGAGAAAUAUCAAAGAGGCCCGGUUCCCGAAGGUUAUCUGAUCGAAUCCAAGCCAGAGGGAUCCUAGUUAUGGUGUGAGUACCAUGGGACUCACCGCCAUAGAACUGGGGAUUGUCGACAACUUCGAGAAGAGGUGGAGACGUUGUUAAAGAAUGGCCAUCUUAGAGAGUUUUUAAGUGACCUGGACAAUGCGGAACCAUCAAAGACAACAAAAGGUUCACCUCGGAUGACCAUCAACAUGAUCCUUGGAGGGAACAAAGUCAAUGGGGUGACUUUUUCAGCACCUAAGAAAACAAAGAUAUCUGUGACUCAUAUCAAGAGAGUCCGAGAAGUCUUGCAGGACGACAUCACCUUCACGGAGGAGGAUGCUGAAGGAAUUCUUCUGCCACACAAUGAUGCUUUGGUAAUAUCUCUCAAUGUUUUAGAUUUUAAAAUUAAGCGUGUUUUGGUUGAUCUAGGAAGUUCAACCAACAUCAUACAAUGGAUAGUUCUGGAGCAAGCGAAAUUAACCGGGAACAUCAUUCCGGCGACAAAGCUCCUAGCUGGUUUCAAAUUGAUAAGUGUGACAACUCGAGGAGAGAUUUCUCUACCUACUCAUGUCGAAGGUGUAACAAAGACCGCCAUGUUCGAAAUAGUAGAUGGCGACAUAGGUUAUAACAUGAUUCUCGAAAGGCCGUGUAUACACGAGCUGAAGGCCGUGCCCUCGACAUAUCACCAAUUUCUAAAAUUUCCGACUCUAGAAGGUAUCAUGAAAAUAAGAGUAGACCAACCGGAGGCAAGGGAGAUGAACGCAGUGAUUGUUUCCAGCGGCAAGGGAAAAGAUUCCAACAAAUAGCAAUUACAGGAAUCGACACCUUCUCCCUUUUCGAAUGAAGGCGAUAAGGGCGAGGAGUCAUCGGAAUCCUACCAAGUUCCAAGAUAUAUUCAGGUACCAGAGGAGACGAAUGUGACCAAAUCGACCACGGAAGAAAUUGAGCAAGUGGCUUUGUUCGAAGAGUUCUUGGAAAGGAAAUUUCAUUUUGGAACGGGUUUGAAUCCCGAGCUCAGGUUAGGAUUUUUAAAUUUUCUUAAAGCUAAUGUUGAAUGAUUUGUGUGGUCGCGCUUGGAUAUGACAGGUAUCCCAUUAGAGGUGGCAUUCCACAAGCUAAGUCUGGAUCUAAAUUUCCCAACGGUAAGACAAAAGAAAUGCCCGAUAGGAACAUGUUUGUUAAAGAAGAGAUAACCCGACUACACAAUAUUGGCUCGAUCCGAGAGGAAAAAUAUCCCUAAUGGUUAGCCAACGUAGUUGUAGUACCCAAAAAGAAUAAAAAAUUUAGAAUGUGUGUAGACUAUAAAGAAUUGAAUAAGGCAUUCCCCUAAGUCUUUUUCUCAUUGCUGAACAUUGAUCAAAUGAUUGAUGCUAUAACCGGACAUGAGUUAAUGAGUUUUUUUGAUGCUUAGUCCGGGUAUAACCAAAUCAAGAUAAACCCAGAGGAUCAAUAAAAAAUAUAUUUCAUAACAAACUUUGGCACAUAUUGCUAGAAUAUGAUGCCUUUUGGGCUCAAGAACGCCGGAGCCACUUAUCAGAGGCUCGUCAAUAAGAUGUUUGAAAAUUAGAUAGGAAAAACAAUGGAAGUAAACAUUGAUGAUAUGUUAGUUAAGUCUUUAAAUGUAGGAGAUCAUCUGAAACAUCUCCAGGAAACUUUUGACAUUUUGCAGAAACAUAACAUGAAACUCAACCCGAAGAAGUGCACAUUUGGGGUUGGUUCUGGUAGGUUCUUGGAGUUCCGGGUCUCGCAAAGAGGGAUCGAUGUAAAUCCCGAUAAAAUCAAAGCUAUCGAGGUCAUCCCGGACCAAUUGACAAGUUUGAAGGAAGUGCCGAGACUGGCCGACAGGCCGGCGGCUCUCAGCAGAUUCAUCUCAAGGUCCUCGAAAAAGUGUCAUCACUUCUUUUCACUUCUGAAAAAGAAGAAUGACUUCAUAUGGACUCCGUAAUUCCAACAAAAAUUGAAAGACCUAAAAAGGUACCUGUCCAGCCCUCUGUUAUUGUCAAAACCGGGGGGAAGUGAGCUGUUAUAAAUCUAUCUAGCAGUCUCAGAAGUGGCGGUAUGUGCCGCUUUGGUCCGAGAAGAAGAAGGUAUGUAAUUUCCUGGUUAUUACAUUAGUAAGAUAUUAUCAGGAGCGGAGACUCGUUAUCCACACCUCGAAUAGUUGGCUUUAGCUCUCGUAGUUGCCUCUCGAAAGCUUAGGCCGUAUUUUCAGUGUCAUCCGAUAACUGUUGUGACAACCUUUACCUUAUGGAAUGUCCUUCACAAGCCUGAGUUGUCAGGCCGUUUGUCUAAAUGGGAAGUCGAAUUAAGUGAAUUCAACAUUGAGUAUAAACCAAGGAAUGCAAUUAAGUCCCAAGUAUUGGCCGAUUUUGUGUCCGAUUUCAGUUUGGGAUUAAUGCCUUUGUCUGUUAAGGAAGUAGUGUUGGUGUCGGGAACGAUGCCAGUAGUUUGGACCUUGUUUACUAAUGGAGCUUCCAACGUAAAAAGGGUUUGGUCUCGAAAUAUUUCUAAUCACGCCUUCCAGGGAGACCCUAAGACAUGCCAUUAGGAUUGUACCAUUAACUAACAAUGAAGCUGAGUAUGGGGCUUUAGUUGCACGACUUGAACUAGCUCAGGGGCUAGGCUCCAAGGUCAUCAAGAUAAUGUGCGACUUCCAACUGGUGGUAGACCAAUUAUAUGGGGUUUUCGACACAAAGGAGGAGCACAUGCAACAGUACCUAAACAAGGUUCAAACGCUACUUGCACGAUUCAGAGAAUGGUCGAUCAUUCAUAUUUCGAGGGAAGAAAAUGUGGACCACUGGCUCGGUGUCUGGGGGCCUCGGAGGCGGACUAUGUGAUGAAGGAAGUCUAUGAAGGAGCCUGCAAAAAUUAUUCCAGUGCGGAUUCAUCGGUUCUCAAAUUGAUCAGACUAUAUAUUAUUGGCCUCGGAUGGAGCAGAAUGUAAAGUCAUUCGUACAAAAAUGCGACAAAUGUCAAUGUCAUGCACAGUUAGUGUAUCAACCAACAAAACUUUUACAUUCGGUGGUGUCUCCGUGGCCAUUCAUAAAAUGGGGGAUGCACAUAGUUGGUCCUUUGCCACCGAGCCCCGAGAAGGUAAGAUUCCUUUUAGUUUUAACUGAUUAUUUUACUAAAUGGGUUGAAACAGGUCCUUACCAAAAAAUCGGAGAACGCGAAGUGGUAGACUUCAUAUGGGACCACAUAAUCUGCCGAUUCGGUAUAACAAAAGAUAUUUUAUGUGAUAACAUGCCGCAGUUUGUGUGUUCAAAAGUCACUAAAUUCUUGGAAGGACUAAACAUCAAAGAAAUUACGUCUUCAUUAUGCCACCCGAGUGAUAACGGGCAGGCAGAGUCAACUAACAAGAUAAUCAUUCAAAACCUUAAAAAGAAGCUAGAAGACGCUAAGGGCAAAUGGCCAAACGAGUUACCGAGGGUGCUGUGGGCAUAUCGGACCACGACAAAGCCGAGCACCGGCGAAAUACCUUUUUCUCUCAUAUAUGUCUCGGAGGCUUUGAUACCGGUAGAAGUGGGUGAGCCGACGCUGAGGAUUUCCCGAGCAAAUGAAAAAUCAAACAUUAAAGCGUUGCUGGUGAAGCUAGACUUGCUUGAAGAACACUGGUACCUGACAUACAUGAGGAUGGUGGCCCAAAAGCAAAGGAUGGAAAGGUAUUACAAUCGCAGGGUGAAUUUGUUAUUUCAAAGUGGGAGAUUUGGUUUUGAGGAAGGUCACUCAGAGCACUCGGGAAGUUAACGCCGGGAAGCUGGGAGCAACAUGGGAAGGUCCUUACCGGGUUUUGGCUAUCACCGAUAAAUGGUUAUAUGAAUUGGAAGAUCAAGAUGGAGUCCAACUGCCCAGCAAUUGGAAUGUGACUCACUUCAAAAGGUAUUAUUGCUGAUGAUUCCUGCUGAUACUGAAAGGAUGUGCUGCAAUCUUUUUCCGUUCGAACAGUUUUUGUCCCAAUCUAGUUUUUAUGGCAAGGUUUUUAACGAGGCAGCAAUGAAAAACAUACUAUGAAGGAGGCAUCAUCGGCAAAAGCAUGACCUUUAAACAUCAAGCACUAAAAUUCUCACACCGAUGGCAAGCAACUAUGUUGAUGGUUAAAUAAUCUUUGGCUCGAUGGCAAUCCUUACCUACCAUUAUUAAAAAUUAUUUGACCAUUCACAAGUUAUUUCCACUGGUGAAGCAUCGGUAUGAAUACGAGACUUCCAAUGUUUGAAUUCUCAUGCUUUGCAUUCAAACACUAGGGGGAGUGCAUGAUACGACACCAAGAGUGCCACGAAAAUCGAGGACUACAAGAACCAGGAUCAAUGUCUUGUUAGGACCGGGGACUACAUGACCAGCCCCAUAGAAACAAGUUUUACAAGUUAGCCACAUGUACUGGUAGCUUUAUUUUACUUAAGAAAACGAAUGCCUGUGUAGUUUUGAAGAUAAAGGGAAUAAAGCCAAUACCUUUUAUUUUUAAAUUAUUUCUAGUUCAAAUGAUGAGUUAAUUUUAUUGUUUGAAAGUUAACAAAAACUUCAAAUGCUUGUGCCGUAAUGAACAUGAGACGUCCUCUUCAAGAGCACCUUAAAUAUAAGGCCCCUCUCUUAUGAAACCCUUAUAGUAAAGGUUAGAUGUUAGAAGAAUUUAUUCCCAGAAUCGGAAGCUAUCAGAUGGAACAAUAUACCCGAAGCUUUAUCAACUAAACGUAAAAAGGAUAAAAAGGCCGAACAUAGAAAAGGUUUCGGCAUAGUUACAAAAGAUAAAAGAAAAUAUAAUACAUUAUUCAUUGCCACCAAAACCCGAAGGAAGAAAAGGGUCUACAUUCCCCCCGGUAGAAGGAGGCGGAUCCGCUACCGGUUCGGGGCCUUCAUCUUCUUCAGUCUCUCCUUCGAUUCCCGAAUACUCAGAACUAGUAUUCGAGAAGUCAUCCGCAACGGGCCGAGUAGGAAGAUUUUCACGAGUAGUCAACUCUAGCUCCCAAGCAUUGGCAAUGCAAUCGUCGAUAUCUGCAAUGCCCACUUUAGCCUCCUCCUAAGUCUUCUUCUUCAUAUGAUAUAUAACAUAGGUCUUCUCGAAGAUGAGGGAAUCUUCUUUAUCCUGAAUUUUUGCUUGGAGUUUAUCGAUUUUGGCCUGAAGCUGCUCUCUUUCAUCCUUCGUGGCACUGAGGCGGGAAUCAUGCUCAACAUUGGUAGUUGAGUGAAGCCGGUUCUUCUCCAUGAUUCUUUUGAGCCUCUCUUCCAUUUUGGCCCUCUUCUCCUCGAUGGCGUUGGCCUCCUCAUUUUUGGAGCACAAGUUGGCCUUCAAGUUAUUGAUUUGCUUCUCGAAGGCAGAUUCACGCUUGGCAAUGGCGAUUACAACAUCAUGAAGCUCGGCCCAUUUAGCUUUAGUCUCUUGAAGCUUUUCAUGUAAUUGGGCAGCUUCUUGGUUGUGGGCCAUUCUGUCUUGCUAGGUUUGCUGUAAUCGAGACUCGAGCUCACUCAUCUCUAUAACGUUUGCCUCCAGUACUGGGAAGGCGCGCGACAAGCUGGUUCCUCUCAGCCAAAUGUUGAUCCCGCUCGGAAGCAAGUUCUUGUUUAUCUAGAAUCAACCUCAGAAGCAAGCAAGUUAGCAUAAAAGAGGUUAAAGUUAAGGUUGUCGUGGCAACAUGUAAAUGGUAAAGAAGAUAGAAGGGAGUUAGGAUGAUAUUUGCACCACACUAUGCAUGUUGUUUAUUCAUCAAUUCUUGCUCAAAUCUUGGAAGAUUAACAAGAAAAACCCAUAAGGUCUUCAUCCUAAAGGUAAGAUUCUACACCCUAACCCUCAAUCUCGAAUUUUAUCUAGAAUUGGUUAAUUAGUAAGAUAAUGUUUNNNNNNNNNNNNNNNNNNNNNNNNNNNNNNNNNNNNNNNNNNNNNNNNNNNNNNNNNNNNNNNNNNNNNNNNNNNNNNNNNNNNNNNNNNNNNNNNNNNNNNNNNNNNNNNNNNNNNNNNNNNNNNNNNNNNNNNNNNNNNNNNNNNNNNNNNNNNNNNNNNNNNNNNNNNNNNNNNNNNNNNNNNNNNNNNNNNNNNNNNNNNNNNNNNNNNNNNNNNNNNNNNNNNNNNNNNNNNNNNNNNNNNNNNNNNNNNNNNNNNNNNNNNNNNNNNNNNNNNNNNNNNNNNNNNNNNNNNNNNNNNNNNNNNNNNNNNNNNNNNNNNNNNNNNNNNNNNNNNNNNNNNNNNNNNNNNNNNNNNNNNNNNNNNNNNNNNNNNNNNNNNNNNNNNNNNNNNNNNNNNNNNNNNNNNNNNNNNNNNNNNNNNNNNNNNNNNNNNNNNNNNNUAAUGGGUUUGGGAUGAUGGAAUCCACCAUAGGAGGACCUUGAAACCUUAAUGCAUACCUAUUGUUUGACAAAAUGCUCAAAUGAGCUAGAACCAUGAUCAUCCUCCUAAUUUUGGUUCAAUUUGUUAUAUUUUUAAAAUAGAUUGAAGUUGCUAAGAAUUACAGAAUAUUUUAGAGUUUAAGAAAGCUCCAUUGAGGUAUGUUGGAUAACUCUUCUCUUAGAAUUGAACCUUAUAUUAUUCUUGUAAGUGUCAAGUUGUUCACCACGAACCGAUUAUUCCGAAUAAGCUUUGUGACAAGAGAUAUAUGUUCCGUACGUGUUCCAAAUGUUAUUGUUAUGUUGUGUUACUAUUGUGAGAACGUAUUCAAAAUAUGGAUUGUUUAUCUAAAUAUUACAACUUGAAGUCGUGUUUCAAAUGAAAACUGUGAUGCUAAAUUGUGUAGAGAUUGUGAUUGGGAUACACCUCCACCCGCAUACAUUGGGGUGAGGCGGCAAUACCGCUUUGUGUAGAGUUUUGGGAUUAUGAAAUACACCUCUACCUGCAUACAUUUGGGUGAAGCGGCAAGGCCGCUUUGUGUAAAGUUUGGGUAUAGUGGAAUACACCUCCACCCACAUAUAUUUGGGUGAGGCGGCAAAGCCACUCUGUGAAAAGGUAGUUGUAGAGAAUCCCUGACUGGAAAUUUAUAAAUAUUAUUGGAAGGUCUUAACAAAUCUGUUUGACUUUUAUGGCUAUCUAAGACUUAUGAUUGUUACCAUGAUUCAUCAUAUUCAUGUUGUAUUUCCAAAUUCUCGAAUAGAUGUUUUGGUUUUCAUACUAGUACUAUUCGACAUGUACAAACGUCCCUUUUGCCGGGGGUGCUAUAUCUUUAAUGGAUACAGGUGGUUCCACAGCAGGAGACAUUGAUUACUGAUAGUGGUACAUCCUCUUCCCAACUGACUUGGUGAGCCCCACUUCAUUUUGGGAUCAUGUAUCUUUUGUUCCUUGUGUAUUGUGUUUGAGGAUAGCCGGGGCCUUGUUGCCGGCAUUAUCAUAGUGUUCUUCUGUUCCUGAUAGAGGCUCCGUAGACAUAGUAUGGGUUGUAUCUGUUUUUGGGAAUUUUAAACUAAAAAUAUUGUAAUGGUAUCAUCUGUUCCUCUUUAACUAUGAUUGUACAACGUACUGUUUUGAAGACUUGUUAAUGACGUAACUAAUGGAAAUGAACCAAUGUUGUUCACAUGACUUCUUAUUGACUUAUUAAUGAAAUGUAUUCUUCUUUUUAUUUGUGGGUGAGUUGGGUAGACGGCACUGUACAGGCUUGCUCGACUGAGAUAACUCUGUUGAGCGCCAGUCGCGCUCCCCGAGGGCGGGGCGUGACAACUCCCAGAGGAGGCACCCUCACCGGAGGUAGAUCCACGAGCUCUGCUUCGGGCAAGGCAUUUUGCAACACCAUCCUGUCCUCCUCGGGAUCAUCUAAUGUGUCAACAUUAGGGAAGGUGAUGGAAUCCCCCGGGAGCCCUGUAUAAGGCAAAAAUGGAGUUAGCAAUUUAUUCAUCAGAUUUCUUGUGUUCGAAUAAGGAUAAAAGAAAGAAGGACUUGGCUUACCAUGAUUCUUGGCCUUCCAUCCGUAUUUGGGAGGCAUUUCUUUCUAUCGACGGGUCUCUAGAGUCGUUAUAUCCAGAAUUUUCUGAACCCAUCGGUCUAGACCGUGAACCCGUGGUGAUUCUUAAUAGGUAGUUAAAACAAUUGAAACAAAAAUCAGUAAAAUAGGAAAUUGCCUUUUUACGGAGAAAGGAAGCAAAUAACCGAAGACUUACAAAACAGGUUCCACGACUCGGGAAAAAUUGGAGUUGUGGCUAGAUUGAUGGCCCUGGUAGCAACAACGACAAACUGUUCUAUCCAUCCACGGUCAUGGUUGUCAUCUACGCUGGUGAGAAGGGCAUGAUGGCCACACUUGCUGAAGUUUAAUAUCCCCCCCCCCUCCCCGAAAAUUCUUGGGAGAGUAAAGAUUCAUCAUAUGUGCAAGAGUUAGGGUUUUCUCGAUUUCAGUGCACAAUUGACGAAGGCAGGUCACCGUCCGCCAUAUAGAUGGCCUACUUGUUCUAACCAGACCUAAUAUCAGUGGUAAAAUUUCAAAAUUAUGCUCGAUCCCAAGGAGAAUUGACCCAAGGUAAAGGGAUACGUAUAGACAUAUAUAAAUCCCCUCCUUGGUAUAGGUAACUCACUCUACCAUAUCUCGGGCAAGGAUUUUAAUAUUGGGGCAGUUGCAGUUCUCCUUCACAGUUGGGAUACUAGAAGGACAAAUGGAGGAGGGAUAUCUGCGAACUGGCCAAAACUGGUGGCCUUGAGAAGUCGCAGGAGGGGUUUUUUCUGGAAGAUCGUUUGCAGUACUGAGAUGAAGUGGUAUGAUAGUAUUAAUAAUUAGAGGAUCAGAUUCAACGUCAGCCUCCUUGGCUUUGUUUUUUUUCGAGCCUCUACGAAGAGAAGACCGGUGUUUCCGAAGGAAGCAGUAUAAGAAGAAGAAGACAUGGAGGUAAAAGGUUAGCAAAGAUAAGAAAGCUGAAUGCUAUAAAAAAGGCUCCAAGAAAGUUGAGAGAAAGAGAUGGAUUGUGAGAGUAGUAAAAAUGAUGAGCAGUGGAGAAGAUAUAGAUGGAAAAAAUCAUAGUCAUGAUUACCUCAAAAUAUGGUGAAAAUACUUGUUGAAUCACGGGACAACAUGUGUUCGGGGUAUUAAAUACGAAGAGACGUGCGUCUCUUCAAAUGUCAGAGACCGUUCAGGAACUUUCGCGCCAAGAAAGGAAUAUUCAUCUACUUCCCGGUAACACUGAGUUGCGUUACCGAAAAGUAGGAGGACUAUCUGUAUGGGGUGAAAUUGAUUGAUUUCAAGUGGCUAAAUAGCGAGGUGACACGUGGCACCGAGAACAUAUAGAAGUUGAAUCGAUAAAUAAUCAACAUCGAUUGUGAAGUGCGUAACCGGUACAAGAUGGAUCCCGACGGGGGCAUAACCGAUGGCAAAAACUCAAAAGCUUGACACCGGAUAACAUUUAAUGAGCAGCCGUUACAAAGAAUAUCUGCAUUCAAAGCCAGCCGUUAUGCACCCAUCAAUGACGUUUUUAUUCUCAUUCAAGAAGGGCUUGAUUUUAGGAUCUUAUCUCCCUAGGAGUAACUAUAAAUAUCAAAUUGACAACUCUUGUAAGAUAAAAAAUAAUAUUGUGCACACAAAAUUGUACUUCAUUAUUUUAGUUCAAUCUAAUAGUUUUAUCAUCACUUUAUCAUUGAUUUCAUUUCUGCUCUCGGAAAAACCAAGUUCGAAGUUAGGCUCGUUAUCUUCUUUAAUUCCAAUCGUUAAUCUUGUUUUUUAUUCUAUUUCUUUAUCAUUUUUGGAUCAAAUCGAUUCGUUUAUUUAUAAACCACGUUACAAAUUCAACUGUAUCGUUUUGCGGGUAAACAAAGACAAAAUUGAGCAACUCAGAAUAAUACAUAACAAAUUUAAACUUUUUUUUUUCUUGAAAAACAAAUAAAGUAGAUAAGAAACACAGUGUGGACAUAUCCCCGAAGGCAAGGAAUUAAACAUCUUCUGAUCUCCAACCCAUAUUUUCUUGUUUGUUCUCAUUUUUCUCUUCUAAAAGUUUUUUCCUCUGUGAUUCAACAACCAUAGUUUUCAAGUGUCCUAUUCCUAUCUUAGUGAUAAAGAAUCAAAUGUCACAUUUUUUGUGAACUGUCUCUGGUUUAGCUAUUUUGCUUCAAAAUGAGCUGCCACAAAGUCAUGGGCUGCUUAUUCUGUCAUCAAAAUUUUGAAAGCUCCCUCCAUCCCGACACCCUCAUUUAAGCCAUAACAACUAAGUCAAGAGCUUCAGUUUUCUGACAUUUCUCCAUCUGUAUGGUUAUGGCUUUUACCCAUUGCCUCCCCUCACAACACUACAUCUAUCAUUGGAACCAUUUUUGAAAUAAAAAUUUAAAAUUAUUUCCUUGAAUAUCUAUCUAUAUUAUAUUAAAAGAACGAAAUCCUUUAGCAAAAUGUUGUUCGUCUUUUUUAUAUUUUAAAAAUAAUUUUUACAUUGAUAAAAUCGUAAUUAAAUUAUUUUCUUAAUAUUUAAGACUUUAAAAGCAAUAAUUAAAUGUUUGCUUACUAAGUCUUUCUUUACUUGAGCUACUAUGUAGGAAAUCCGAAUAUAUAGAACUUUUAAAACCAAUUGAAAUUUUAACUUAUAUGAAUCCUAAUGCAAUUCGCCAGUAAUUAAGGUUUUGUCUUUAAAAGAAAUAAAUUGACAAAAGCAUGUCAAAUUAUCAACGAGAUGUGAGACAAACAAAUUUUUAGUGAAUAUGAAAUUGGAUACUGCAACAUCUUGGGUUUUAAACCGUAUGNNNNNNNNNNNNNNNNNNNNNNNNNNNNNNNNNNNNNNNNNNNNNNNNNNNNNNNNNNNNNNNNNNNNNNNUCAGAUACACGUGUUGAGUCAUUUAAAUUUUUUUUCUGAUAUUAGAACUUUAAUAUCAAUUAAAAUUUAACUUUCUAAUGUUUUUUUUUAAAAUUUGAACUACUAUGUAGGAAGUCUUAAUUUUUAGGAUUUUAAAACUAAUUGAAAUUUUACCUUAUGAAUCCUUUUAUUAUUUGAACAAAUAGAUAAAUCAGCACUCCUGCUAUUUUUCUUAUUCUUAAUUAUAGACUUAUAACAUUUUAUAGAAUUAAACUCAAUCAACUAUUUAUAAUAUAAUUAUCACAGUUAAAAAGAAUAUAGAGAAAGAUUUUUUGCAAAAAUAAUAUAUAUGAUUCUCUGAGUGUACAAUAGUAUUCAGGUUAUGUAUAACUAAAGUCGAUAAUGUCAGUCAUCACUCCUUCUACUUUUCUUAUUCUUAGUUAUAGACUUAUAACAGGUCAUAGAAUUAAAAUUAAUCAAUUAUAUAAAUAUAAUUAUCAUUGUUAAAAAAGAAUAUAGAGAAAGACUUUUUGCGAAAAUUAUAUAUGAUUCUCUAGGUAUACAAUAGUAUGUUCAUUACUCCUUAAUCAAACUAUCCUUCUAUAAAAUUUAUAUACCAAAAAUAUAAAAACACAUUCUAAUAAUUACUAUAAUAAAAUAUAAAUUAUUAUUAUUAUUAUUAUUAUUAUUAUUAUUAUUAUUAUUUGACAAGAGGGGUUGCUCUGAUGGUAAACAACCUCCACUUCCAACCAAGAGGUUGUGAGUUCGAGUCACCCCAAGAGCAAGGUGGGGAGUUCUUGGAGGGAAGGAUGCCGAGGGUCUAUUGGAAACAGUCUAUCUACUUUUAUGGUAGGGGUUAUUAUUAUUAUUAUACUUUUAAACUUUUACUUACUAAAUCUUUCUUUAUUUGAACUACUAUGUAGGAAAUCUUAAUUUUAGAAUUUUAAAAUUAAUUAAAAUUUUACCUUAUGAAUCCUUUUAUUAUUUGAACAAAUAGAUAAAUCAGCACUCCGUCUAUUUUUCUUAAUCUUAGUUAUAUACUCAUAACAUGUUAUAGAAUUAAACUCAAUCAACUAUACAUAAUAUAAUUACCAUAGAUAAGAAGAAUAUAGAGAAAGAUUUGUUGCAAAACUAAUAUAUGAUUCUCCGGGUAUACAAUAGUAUUCAGGUUACUAAAAUUGAUAAUGUCGGUCAGCACUCCUAUUUUUCUUAUUCUUAAUUAUAGACUUAUAAUAGGUCAUAGAAUUAAAACCAAUCAAUUAUAUAUAAUAUAAUUAUCAUUGUUAAAAAGAAUAUAGAGAAAGAAUUUUCUACGAAAAUUAUACUCCUAUAUGAUUCUUUGGGUAUACAAUAGUAUGUUCAUUACUCUUCAAUCAAGCUAUCCUUUGU